UACGUAGGUGGCAAGCGUUGUCCGGAUUUACUGGGCGUAAAGAGCGCGCAGGCGGUCGUUCAAGUCGCGUGUGAAAGCCCCCGGCUCAACUGGGGAGGGUCACGCGAUACUGAUCGACUCGAAGGCAGGAGAGGGAAGUGGAAUUCCCGGUGUAGUGGUGAAAUGCGUAGAGAUCGGCAGGAACACCCAGGGGGAAACCAGUGGACUGGGCAUGUGCUGACGCUCAGGUGCGAAAGCGUGGGGAGCGAACCGG
rnacentral:rRNA from 1 species